rnacentral:lncRNA from 1 species
UGCUGGCGCCCGCGGACUCCAUGAGGGUAGUUGUAACCACCUCCUAGCAUUCCCUGCUCGCUACCCGGGCCCCCAAACUCUGCGCCUCGUUGCUAGAUAAAGGAGGGCCGCCACCCCGCUCCUUCCUCCGUUCGCGACGACUUCAGUGAGCUCGCUGCAAUCCACCACUAGCCGAUUAAAGGUUUGGUAAGAGAGAGAAGGUGAGCACGGGAAGAUAAGAACGAGGUUGGGAUCUUCAACGUGGAGACGGGGGCGGGCCACGGUGCGUUCCCGUGCAGCGCUGGUGUCGGCCAUGACGUCAAUAAGACAGAGGGCCGGUGCCUCACUGUCGGCAAGCAAGGAUCACCGUCGCACCGACACCUUUCGUGGGCAGCUCUGCUUGCGCUCCUAACACCAGUAAGGACGCAACCUGGCAACUCAUUACCUUCUCCGUUUUGCGCAAGACAAUCCGUGCUCCAAACCACGAUCUCGGGCGGCUAGUCCGUCACUCGUCGGCUUCGCACCUCCCUGAUGCGGGCGAUCGCCGUUCGGAGGACGGAGGAGGAAGAAGGGUCUGGGGCCGUCGAUUUCGUGAGAAACAGCCAUGAUUAGAUGAAGAGUUGUGCGGGUGGUAGCUGUGGCAUCAUAGAUGAGCAGUGAAGAUUUAAUCUUGCGUACUCCCCUAGGCGAUUUGAUUGGGGCCGUAGGGGUUUGAGCGCGAUCGCAUACCGGUUCAUUUUAAGUGCUGUUAGAUCUCGGCGCUCGAUCUCUAAUCGGACGGCCAGAAACUGAUGAUACCCUUUCAGCCAGCACCAUUUGCAAAAGAACCCCUCAGGUUUUAAUGAAUAAACUCGUCGUCCACUACUUAUAUAAAGUAAUUACAUGUGUGCCCUACAAAUUUGUAAAUGGACCCCUGGACUCCCUGAUAAUUGUGCGCCAGUCUAGAAACUUAAUAGAUUAGGAAAAAUAAUAUAGAAAAUGCUUUUCUAGUAUAAAAAUAAAUCUACAACUUGGUUAAUUCAUAUAAAUUCCAUUUUAACUCCUUUUUGAUCCAUUCCAGUUUUAUUAAUUUUGUAUUAAUAUUGUUUAUCACUUGGGAACUCUGUUUAGUUAUGAAACAUAGAUUAAAAUUAUCCACUUGAUUUAUUCUAUACUAAACACUUAAUAACUUCGGAAACUGAUAACUUGAUAACCGUAACUCUAAAUUUAGUGAAUCUCGAGCCUACAAUCUCGUUACGAUGCGUAGAAUAUUAUUAUGCAGUAUGUUCUCAUGUUUGGUGUGAUGUUAGUUUCUCCUAUACCAUGUCUAUUUGUAUUGCUUCGAGUAGACGAACAAGUGACCAAGGACCCAGGUGUUCAACCGGUGGAAAUUGUUGAGCAGGAGCUCGUUUAAGGCUAGUUGUGCCCUUGAUCACUUCUAUUUACCCAAUGAUGUUCUUGUUAAUCAUUAUGAUCUGCAUAGGUUAAUUUUGAUGGGAUCCAGUAGGCCACCCCAAUUUAGCUAUCUUUAUACCUUGUUUAUCACUGAACAUUUGGGUAGUACCUGCUAUUGCUUUAUGUGGUUUUGGGUGUUAAGAUGCACAUUAUUCAUGAUCAUGGUUUUAUUAUCAAUUUGUUAUUUACUGUUCACGAUAAGAUCAUUAUGUUAAUUGGAACAUGGAGAACCACCCGGGAAAACAGUGCUACCACAAGGGUGGUUAGGGACGCCCUUGGCUAACUAAUUAGGAAAGCUAGUGGAUGACUACCUUACCCGAAAGGGGCAAGGGCAGUAGGGGAGUGGUUGGUGUAGGGAGGUUCUCGAGUUGAUUUUGCUACGAUGGUAGUCAGACGGGGGAUUCCUGCAUUGCGCUCCCUAGAAACUAUAGCGGGUUUUCUGAAGCUAGUGGAACUUUGUAAAGGCCUCGUAGUUAUACCCUGCCUCGCUUCCUUGGUAGAGGUGUAUGGGAUUCAUGACCCCUUGACAGAUGGGUAACAUGACUUGUGGGUAAAGAUGCGCAACCUGUGUAGAGUGUAAAAUUGGUAUAUCAGUCGUGCUCACGGUCAUGAGUGGCUCGGACCCUCACAUGAUUAACUUAUGGAAUUAAAUUUAAUUGGUCAUUUGCAUCACAUUGUGGGUUUAUUAUUAAUUUUGAUCUAUUAUUACUCUGGUUUGGUAUAUACUUACAUUUAUUAACUGCUAAUAAAAUUUGACCAACUUAUUAAAAGCAAUGCUCAGCUUUAACCAUUAUUUGUUGAUCAGCCUUACACUUCACAUGAACUCCCACCUUUGGUGAGUUCAUGCACAUUAUUCCCCACAACUUGUUGAGCUAUGAUCUUUUCUGAGCUCACUCUUGCAAUAUAUAACCCCCCACAGGAGAAGAACAGGUAGUCCAGGAGGAGGUGUACAAUGAAGUACGAGCUUAUCUAGGUGGCGUCUCCGAGUCAACUUUAUGGUGCCAAGGAAUAAUAUUUGGUUCGCUUUAUUGUUAUCAUCUAUUUUUGUAAGACUUCCGCUAUGUAAUAAUGAUAUUUGUGACAUUUAUCUCUAUACACUUUGUCAUUAUAUGUGAUGUUCUUCUUUGGCGCACAUAUGAGACGCACCUAGCUUUACCCCUUAAAUCCGGGUGUGACACCCACCUUCGGUAAGACGUCUCCCACCUUGCUCGCAAUGAUCUCCCCUGCACGUAGGAACUUCCAGGUGGGUUAUUGGGGCUUUGGUGUGCGAUUUGCAUGAUCUCCGGUGAGGGUCCGCCACGGGAGCUCGUGCCGCCGUUCCCGGUCGGUUAGAUUGUGAGAACCCCUGGUGUCGUCCAAUCCUCUUCGGAUGGCUAAGAUUAGAAGUCGUAUACCCUUUCGCUCACUUUAAAUCUAAACAGUAGAUCGUGGCACGUUGCACCCUUGACUCGGACCAUUGGAUCGAGAUCCAACGGUCGGAAAUGUGUACCAAUUCAUUACUCUCGAAUAUCUAAUUUGGUCCGCCCGUUUCUGAUCGGAUGGUUCAGAAUAGAGGAUACCCUUUGAUUGAGGAUGAUUUGCAAAAGAGUCCUCAGGAUUCUGUUGAAUUAACCUGUGCUCCACCCAAAGUCAAAAUUUAUUACAGUUUAGUCUUGUUUUUCGUAGAAUAGCCCCUGCCUUUCUAGGGAAUUGUACCCACCGUCCAAAAGAAUUAACUAAUGUUAUCAAAUUAAUCAGGAUUUGAUUUUUUAGUAUAGAAAUAAAUUCAAAACUUAGAUAAUGCAUAACUAAUUCCUUUUAACUCCAAUUUUAAUGGUUCUUGAACCUACAGAUUCAUUGAACGUGUAGAAUUUCAUUUUGCACUUCUCCUCCUAUUUGGUGUAAUGUUAAUUUUGUCCCUAUAUUGUUUGUUUGUAUUACUGUGAAUAGACGAGCAAGCGACCGAG